rnacentral:rRNA from 1 species
UGAAAUAGCGCACUGAAGUAAACGAAAGCAGAGAUUAAGUCUCGUACCUUUUGCAUCAUGAUCUAGCCAGUAAUUUCAAGCGAAGAGACCUCUAGUUUGAACCCCCGAAACCGGACGAGCUACUCCGGGACAGCCUAUUUAAGGGCCAACCCGUCUCUGUGGCAAAAGAGUGGGAAGAUCCCCGAGUAGAGGUGAAAGACCUACCGAGUCAGGUUAUAGCUGGUUGCCCAAGAAAUGGAUAGAAGUUCAGCCCCGAAAGCCCUAGCCCAUUGCGGUCCCACCAAGAUAAGGCAUAAGGACAUCAGCGGGAGUAAGUCAAAGGAGGUACAGCUCCCUUGACAAAGGAUACAACCUUCACAGGAGGCUAAGGAGUACAAUUUACCCAAGGCUAUGGGUUUCAGUGGGCCUAAAAGCAGCCACCUGACUAGAAAGCGUUAAAGCUCAUACCAAAUCAAGCCUAUUAUACCACCAAAAACCUUCAACGCCCCUAAAACAUAUUGGGCCCUUCCAUGCCCCCAUGGAAGAGACCAUGCUAGAACGAGUAAUAAGAAGAACGAACUUCUCCCCGCACAUGUGUAAGUCGAAUCGGACCCUCCAUCGACAACUAACGAACCCACCAAAAGAGGGACAUGCAUCACUGCCUAAUCAAGCCAAGAAAAGCAUGCAAGCUGAAAUCGUUACCCCCACACAGGAGUGCUUAGAACAAAGGGAAAGACUUAAAGGAUAAAAAGGAACUCGGCAAACCUAGACCCCGCCUGUUUACCAAAAACACCGCCUCCUGCUUGUUUUAACCAUAGGAGGUCCCGCCUGCCCUGUGACCAAAAGUUUAACGGCCGCGGUAUUUUAACCGUGCAAAGGUAGCGCAAUCAAUUGUCUUUUAAAUGGAGACCUGUAUGAAUGGCACCACGAGGGUUUGACUGUCUCUUUCUCCCGGUCAAUGAAACUGAUCUGCCCGUGCAGAAGCGGGCAUACUUGCACAAGACGAGAAGACCCUAUGGAGCUUUAGACGCCCACCAACCAUGAAAAGCGGUCCAGCCAAUGGACCUUCAAAUAGCAUGGCUUUGGCACAAACGUCUUCGGUUGGGGCGACCACGGGGGAAAGCAAAGCCCCCGAGAGGAUUGGAGUAGUACUUCAAAACCGAGAGCCACAGCUCUAAGUCACAAAAAAUUUGACCUACAAUGAUCCGGCUUACUGCCGAUCAACGGACCAAGUUACCCUAGGGAUAACAGCGCAAUCCUCUCCCAGAGUCCAUAUCGACGAGAGGGUUUACGACCUCGAUGUUGGAUCAGGACAUCCUAAUGGUGCAGCCGCUAUUAA